rnacentral:rRNA from 1 species
UACGUAGGAGGCAAGCGUUGUCCGGAAUUACUGGGCGUAAGGCGCGUGUAGGUGGUGGGACAAGUCUGCUGUGAAAGCGCCUGGCUUAACCGGGCGAGGUCGGCGGAAACUGUCCGACUCGAGGACGGUAGAGGGGGGUGGAAUUCCCGGUGUAGUGGUGAAAUGCGUAGAGAUCGGGAGGAACACCAGUGGCGAAGGCGGCCUUCUGGACCAAUACUGACGCUCAUGCACGAAAGCGUGGGGAGCAGACAGG